rnacentral:rRNA from 1 species
ACGCCCGGGUAUUACGAGCUUAAGCUUAAAACCCAAGGGACUUGACGGUGCCCCAUCCAUCUAGAGGAGCCUGUUCUAUAAUCGACACCCCCCGCUACACCUCACCAUUUUUAGCCUCUCAGUCUGUAUACCUCCGUCGCAAGCUUACCAUGUGAACGUAUUUAGUAAGCCUAAUGGUUACUUCACCAACACGUCAGGUCAAGGUGCAACCUAUAAAAUGGGAAGUAAUGGGCUACAAUUUCUAACUUAGAACAAACGAAAAACUGCAUGAAAAACAGUUAUGAAGGCGGAUUUAGUAGUAAAAGGAGAACAGCGUGCUCUUUUUAACCCGGCACUGGGACGUGU